rnacentral:rRNA from 1 species
CCUACGGGAGGCAGCAGUAAGGAAUCUUGCGCAAUGGGCGAAAGCCUGACGCAGCGACGCCGCGUGGGCGAUGAAGGCCUUCGGGUUGUAAAGCCCUUUUGCCGGGGAAGAGGGAGGACGGUACCCGGCGAAUAAGCCCCGGCUAACUACGUGCCAGCAGCCGCGGUAAUACGUAGGGGGCGAGCGUUGUCCGGAAUCACUGGGCGUAAAGGGCACGUAGGCGGCCCGUUAAGUCGGCUGUGAAAUCCCCCGGCGCAACCGGGGGGAGUCGGCCGAGACGGGCGGGCUAGAGGGAGGCAGAGGGAGGUGGAAUUCCCGGAGUAGCGGUAAAAUGCGUAGAUACCGGGAGGAACACCGGUGGCGAAGGCGGCCCCCGGGGCUUCCCCUGACGCUGAGGUGCGAAAGCGUGGGGAGCGAACCGGAUUAGAUCCCCGGGUAGU